AAACGACAGAGAAACUAAAAAAAUAGGCCUGAAAUCCUCGACUCUCCUUUUGCAUGAAGAACAGCCAUCGAUACCAGUCGAUAGAGAGACCAAGCUUCCCACAAAAAUCAACCUUCAAAAUCUCAGUCUCCGUUAAAAUUAAGAGUUCUUCGGACCAACCCACUAUCACCACGUUUGGACUCGACUUUGCCAUUUCAACACCGUUAGCUUAUUCUGCCUUUAUCGUGGUCAAUCAAUCCAACCAUCGCGAGCGGAGCUUCCUCAAUCCAGUAUUGGGAGUUUUUGUGUUGUCUUCCUUCUAGCGCCAUUCCAUGAGCCAUUUUGUUGGCCUCUCGAGGUACAUACUCAAAACGUAACCUUCUGAACCUAUUACCUCUCCCUUUGAUUUCUUUAAUCAGGCUACUAAUGCUCGACUUAUCAUCCUCAGCAGAGUUUAGUUUGCGGAUUAUGGUCAACGCAUCACCCUCUACAAGAAUGUCCUGAAAUCCCAUUUCCUCCACCAUGGUAACUGCUUGCAAACACGCCAUUGCCUCCGCCAUCGUUGAAUCUGGAAUGUUCUCCCAAGGAAAGGUACAAGCAGCCAUUACAAGACCUUCUCUAUUUCGUGCUAAUACUCCGGAAAUUGAUUUUCCCGUGCCCUGGUUGAAAGAUGCAUCAAAAUUAAUUUUAAUAAUGUCACUCGUUGGAGGUUUCCAAAAAAAUCCACCACAUCAUUUGCAUUUCUUGAUAUUUGUGCCAUAACAUUAAUUUCUGCAUGAUAGGCACCGAUAAACGCUAAUAACUUGUUCUCUGAUUCCUUCAUGAUAAAGCUUGUUACGGUUAUACCAUAUAGCCCAGUAACUGAUCGAUCUAAUCGUAUUACUUUCUGCAUUCUGGCUUUCAACUGCUCUUGCUAACCACUGUUUUCAAUUGGGUUCUCUAUUGCAUGUUGUGUCUGGCAUUCCUAACCUUCGCAAAACCUGCUGUGUGAAAGGGCAUCAAGAGAAUUUUGAAACUAUGUUUAAAUGUCCUAUUUCAUUCAAUUCGACUGAGUGAAUAUGGUAAAGGUUGAAAUGAGAAAGUUAUGGUUGCGACUUGUUUGUGCGUUGAAUAUACUCUAUGAGACUCGAUCUUGUCAAUUCAUAUAGGAAAAUUUUCGCACAUAAAUUCGUAGUGUGGGAUUGAAAAUCCAACAGAAGUGUCCAUUGCUAUCAUGCUGAACAAGGUUAAAGCUCCUAGCUAUUAUUAGCACAAUAAUUCCCCAGACCAAGAAAUGAUACCAAACAUAGUGCCCAACCCAUCCAUAUUGGAGUUAACCAUAUCUAAAAUAUGAAUCUUAUCAACCCGAAAGCUGGAAAGAAAAGAACUUGAUGGAAACAACUUUCUCCACGCCAACGAACCAACCGGACAGUCUCUUAGAACAUGCAAUGUACUUUCCCAACAACUACCACUUAUUUGACACCAUCCAUCCUCUUACAGUCCAUCAACAUUUGUCAACAACUUCUCCCAUAGAAACUGGCCAACAUGCUAGGUAGAAUUAUCAAAUUUUACAAAAGCAACGGGACCAGACACUGAAAUUUCAAAUUUUUGAGUGAUGUGAGGGAGCAGACCAAGUUGUAAGUUAGUUAAUUUCCACUUAUUCUAUACUUUUAAGAAAAAGAAAAUAAAAAAAAGAUUCUUCCUCGUAAGUUUCGUAUUGAGAGUUUCAAAGGUUUUAAUUUUGUUGGGCAUAAGUUGAUGUUGUGUAAGAGGAGACUGUGAGAAGAAGACAAAAACAAAUGUAUGGUUAUGUCGGUGGGAAGGACACGAGAGUGAUCAUUCAAUAUUCCCUGUCUCAUCAUCCCAACACAUGGAUCCCUCUCUUCAUCCAUCCUUUACUCUUCUUAUUAUGUCACCCUUUAUUUUAUUUUUAAUUUCAUUGAAAUAUAGCAAUGGAUGGUAUAUCUUUACUGUUGUUUUUAUUUGGCAUCGGUUCUGACAGGAUUUUUUAAUGCUGGACUUAGAAAUUAUGAUCACUUAUCAUGCAGACACUGCUAGAAAUUCUAAACGUUUCACGUAAUUUACAGUAACAAUUUAUGAACCCUGUUUGAAAUUUGAAAAAAAAAUUGAUAUCUAAAUUCCAAUAUUCUUACAACAUUAAAUUCACAGGAGGUAUCAUUAGAGGGAAGUUUUGCUUGGUUCACUGCUCUCACAAACCUUUGUUCAACGAUAUCAACACUUUAAGACAUCUGUUACAGAGUACCGAAUGAUCUAACGAAAUAUAUGACACUUUAGAGCGGACGAAGAAAAAGAG
rnacentral:lncRNA from 1 species